UCAGGAUGAACGCUAGCGACAGGCCUAACACAUGCAAGUCGAGGGGCAUCGGGGAGCGAAGCUUGCUUUGCUCCGCCGGCGACCGGCGCACGGGUGAGUAACGCGUAUGCAACCUGCCCGUUUCAGCGGGAUAACCCGGAGAAAUCCGGCCUAAUACCGCAUGUGGCCGAGGGAAGGCAUCUUCUUUCGGCCAAAGGAGGCGACUCCGGAGACGGAUGGGCAUGCGUGACAUUAGCUUGUUGGCGGGGUAACGGCCCACCAAGGCGACGAUGUCUAGGGGUUCUGAGAGGAAGGUCCCCCACACUGGUACUGAGACACGGACCAGACUCCUACGGGAGGCAGCAGUGAGGAAUAUUGGUCAAUGGGCGAGAGCCUGAACCAGCCAAGUCGCGUGAAGGAUGACGGCCCUACGGGUUGUAAACUUCUUUUGUCAGGGAGCAAUUGGGUCCACGUGUGGGCUUAGCGAGAGUACCUGAAGAAAAAGCAUCGGCUAACUCCGUGCCAGCAGCCGCGGUAAUACGGAGGAUGCGAGCGUUAUCCGGAUUUAUUGGGUUUAAAGGGUGCGUAGGCGGAAUAUCAAGUCAGCGGUAAAAAUUCGGGGCUCAACCCCGUCGUGCCGUUGAAACUGAUGUUCUUGAGUGGGCGAGAAGUAUGCGGAAUGCGGGGUGUAGCGGUGAAAUGCAUAGAUAUCACGCAGAACUCCGAUUGCGAAGGCAGCAUACCGGCGCCCAACUGACGCUGAAGCACGAAAGCGUGGGUAUCGAACAGGAUUAGAUACCCUGGUAGUCCACGCAGUAAACGAUG
rnacentral:rRNA from 1 species